rnacentral:lncRNA from 1 species
CUGUCUGUCUGUCUCUGUAUUGGUCAGUCUUGCUUUGAAUCCUGGACUCAAGGGAUCCCCCUGACUCAGUCGAGACAAGGUCUCCUGUAUCGCAGGCUGACCUGGAACUCUCUGUGUAGCUGAAGAGGACCUUGGAUUUCUGGUCCGCCAGCCUCCGUCUCCCCUGUGCGGAGAUCACAGUUUGUCUUGCUCUGGACAGUGCGUGGCUGGGCCACCUGUCGGUUGCGACGGCGUCAAGAUGAUGCUGCGGCGAUGGGAGAGGACCAGGUGUGGAGCCCCGAGGCAGCCAGGCCCCGCCUCAGAGCUGCG